rnacentral:lncRNA from 1 species
UUAGCUCUUUACUUAGUUUGUGUUCUUGACCAUUAACUACAUAGUCACAAUUGUAUAAAUGCCCACUUUACAAAAAUAGCCACUUUUGCAAAUCCGACAAAAUGGCCAGAUUCACAAAGAUAUUAUCACAGCAUUCCUAGAAGCAUAUAUGGCAGUGAUAUUUCAGCAACUAACUCAUGCUAUGUGUUAUACACCUAAAGUCAUUCAUGGGAUACUUAGCAUUGUUACUCGGAUACAAUAGCUUGAAAUCAUGCUUAAAAAUCCAUAAACUACUUAGAUGUCACAUUCAAAAAAACUUACAACUCAAUAUUCAAGUAUUAUGAAUGACUAUAUUCACAUUAUCACAUGCUUGAUACAUAACAAUAACAUACAAAGCUCUUUUGUUGUCGAACUAUUCAUCACAUCAAACGCAUUUAAAUGGUGCAGCAUGUUCAAGUUGUUCCCAUUGCUGAAAAUACAUACAUUACGAGUCUUAAAGGAUUACCUUGAUAGCAAAAGAAUAAACAGUAGUUCAGCAACUAAAGCAGCAUAAAAACAGCAGCAAAACAAUAGAGAACUGCCAGCAAAUCUGUGUUAAAACAGCCCGAAAACUUAGAGAAAACCCCAGAAACGAACUCUAAAGAGGACUUAUACUUUUCUAAAAGUUUGCGCUCUAAGAUUCACUCCUAAAGCUCACCAUUUCAGCUUACUUUACAUGUGUUCAACCGCUGAUUUUUUUUUUUAUGUUUUUGUGUGUUCAAAGUAAUUCUAAAAGCUCUAUGGAAGUGUGAUGGAGUCCCCCUCAUAAUGAGGAAAGGGCAGCCCCUUAAACAGGCAAAGAAAAACCGACUUUUUAGAUAGAUUUUGGUUCACCAAAAGUCUACCCGAUAAGGAAUAACAUUGUGUGCUAAACACUGUUCAAAAUCUGUCAAAAAUCUACUAUGUCAGAAGCAAGGAGAAAAAAUGUCAUUUCAGCCACCCUACUAGUAAAAGUAGGCUACUAGCACCCUAUUUUGUGAUAAAAAUAUCUAAAUUUUAGAUUUUAACAGCACUAAUAUCACCAUAUUGAUUCAAAUAAAACCAAGUAUUAAAACAUGUAAUUAAACUUUAAAACAUGUACUAUGAACCAACAUGAGCAAACAAAAAUUAACUAUUAAAGCCAGACAGAACACACGCUAUCGUUGAAGCGAUUUAACGAACCAACUAGACAAACAUAAUCAGAAAUGGAUUAAAUAAAGAAACAAGACAGAAACUAAUUCUAACCCAAAAAAUCAGAAAAUUAAUAACGGGGCAGGAUUACGAUUUUACCAUAUAGUCUCAAGUAUUUCCUUACUAUCUCACUUUAAUCAAUACAAAGCUAUUUUCUACUUCAACAAGUGCAAAAACAGAAAAUUUAACAUUUCAAACUUCAAGAAGUAAUGCUAAGAUAAUUAAUAAUAGACAAAAUAAAAUCUGAAAAAUAAAAAUAAAAUAAAAAAUCAGCAAUGAAAAAGAAUAGAAUUUUUACCAUUUAACAAUUCAAGUGGCCGAAAAAAUAGUGGUAUGCCAAAAGAGGGUGUUCGGGGAGGCCGCCGGAUUUGGUCGGAUUUUGGUCGCCGGAUUUUCAAGAUGAAAUUGGCAUCAAUAGCUAGGUCUUGAUGAGCUCUAACCAUUGAUGUAGGUAUUGUGGGGUGGUAGUGGUUGGAGCUUUAAGAAUUUGGGCAAAAAAGUAACAGGAAAGUUUCCUAGAUCUAAGAUUCAAGGAGUUUGAUGGGUUUUUGAAGGAUUUGGUUUUGAGAUAUGGAAAGAGGAGGUGUUGGAGAUUACUUGGUGAAAUUUUGAGAUGGUUUGGAGGUGGUCCUCCGGUGGGAAAUUUCCGGCGGCAGUGGAGGGGCAGCGGUUAUGGAGAAAUAGAGAGAGAAGAGAGAGAGAGGAGAAAAUAAUUAUGGGAGAAAUGGGGGUCAUUUUUCAGAUUUU